GCCCGAUUAGCUCAAUCGGCAGAGCGUGCGGCUUUUAACCGCAAGGUCGCGGGUUCGAGCCCCGCAUCGGGCU